rnacentral:lncRNA from 1 species
CCGGCCCGGCCUCAGCCCCGGUGCGUGGCAAACAAUGCUCGGCAGCCAGCGCGUGUGCGAGAGGAGUAAUUGUGCUCCGGCGCUUAAAUAAAUCAUUGAUGGGUGAAAUUACACAUGCUCACUUAAAACGUAAUGUGAUUAAGAGAUUAGGGGAUCGCGGUUAAUGCGGUGCCUCGCAGCUUCUGGACCCGCUUCCCCACACCGGGAAUCCCGCAGCCCCAUUCGGCUCCGUGCGCCGGGGCGGCCCCUUGGGGGGGGGGGGGGCGGUGGAGGCUGCACGAAGAGGACCCCCCCCGGCUCCUCCUUGGGGUGCACCGUCCGUGGGAGGACGCGCCUUGAAAUAAAUAACUUCAGGGUGGUUUUGUUUGGGGGGGAAAUGCAAACAUACGAAGUUAAAUGGAGACGGGGGCAACGGGGGUGCUGCGUCCGCUGAUUGCCCCCGCUCUGCUAGCGGCCCCGUUUCCUCGCACAUGGUUUAACAUCUGAAUCUCUGGGCUGGAACACGCAACCUUUCACCGAAGCACGAAGGAAGGGAGGGAAGCGAGGAGGUGUGGGGGGGAAGGGAAGUCGCAAAAACCUGCGGACGAGGCGGAGGGACCGGCUUUGCCCGAGCGCUUGCGACAAGCGGCCAGAACAACAACAAAACACCCAAAAGCCCGCUGCAGGCGGAGUACACUCAGUCCGGUGCUGCUCGGUGGCCCCUUUGUUCCCGGCGGGGGGACAGGCGAGGCGUGAACCCCCCAGCCUGCUGCCCACACGCCAUGGGACGGGCCCCUUCCCAGCGGGGCUGCUCGGCAGGGCCCGACCCUCCUCUCCUCUCCUCUCGGCGGAGCGGGGAUAUGAUAAAAGGAGACAGGGCUCUGAAAGGAUUUGAUUGAGAUGGCGUGUGCCAAGCUGAUGGGAGCCAGCGAGGGACAAAGCGCCGAGGAGCCAUGGACACUCGAGCAAUUAUUCCUCCACGCUGAAGGUGGAUUAGCGCAAUGGAAAGAAGCAUAUGUUCGGCCUGGGGCGACACUCCCCCUGGCUGGGUUUAGAGAAUGAGAGAGGAGAAAGAGGCUGAACCUGGAAUAUCAACUAUCCGGGAGACAGCCCAGCCGCCCCCCCCCUCUCCCAGCCUCUCCAAAAGUCCCGGGGAUGGAUGGCAGGAUAAAUAUGCACAGCCCUGUAGAUCAACGGGCACCCACGCGUAUACCCACAGAGAGCUGCACACACCUCUGUGCACAGCCAUUGCAUCGUUUGGCGUGGGCACACAGAGACAGAAAGACAGAAAGGUGGGAAAACCCACUCGGGUGUGACAAAGAGAGCAUGAACAGCCUGCCUAUUGAGGGGCCUUGCAGCACCCACUCCGCUAGAGGCUCAGCCCCUCCUGAAACUUUCUGAAGGUGGCUGUGGUGAGGGAUGGGGUCAUCCCCAUGCCUCACACCAGGCCCAGCCUGGAAGAUGCGUGGCAGACUUCUCAGUUCCCCCUUUCCUUCUGCUCCUGCAAUGCAUCCUGCAGGCACUCUGCAGGGUGAGAAGGAUGCACUCUACUAGGAGAGAGAGAGGGAAAAGGAGGAAGGCCGCUCUCCCCAUCCUCCUGGGAGCUCCAAAGUUGUGCCCCAAGUAUUUCACUUCCACUUCUUUAUCCUCAGGCAGACCUAAUAUAGGGGCUGGCAGCACGAGGGCAGAAAGCUCCGCAGGAUGGACAAGCCAGUAGGAACAUAACCAAAGCCAUUGCAUGGAAGAAAUAUACAUCCCCAAGAUUGCAGUGGCACAGAGUGCAACAGCUCCCGCCAGAAAAAAAGCUCAGCUCAAAGCCCCUGCAUCUGCUUUCAAUAGUCAGUUACAAAAGGAAUUAACCACACCACAGGCAACAACAGCAGUGGGGCUCAAGAGUAUCUCUGGAUGGGAAAGACCUUCAUGCUGUCCACGUCCUAUAGAAGCUGGCACUUCAGUGCACGUUCUUUACACUCGGCUGUCCUUCACCUUCCUGCUCUGAAAACACGGCUAUUCCUUCUGCCCCAGGAUGUACUUCCCCACUUUCUCUUCCUUCACCUGGUCUAAAGGUGCCUGUGCAAACGAGCUGUGUGGCUACACACAGAUCAGGAAUCCAGGAGCUUGCAGGAACCUUGGAGCCCUGGUUCAGAGAGGGAACCCACGUGCUUGCCAUACAGGGCAGAGAUGGUUUUGGGUGGUGGUUCUUGCCCUGUAGGAUUAGGGUGUGAAGGAAAGCCAGUCUGGAGACAGUGGGUCCUUCCCACUCCACCAGAAAGCUCUCGGUUGCCUCAGCCUGAUUUCCACUUUGGUUUGCUCAGUGGAUGCGCUCCAACCACUCUACUGGAGAGAUGAGAAACGUUGGCCCUUUAGUCUGAGCCACCAAAGCUAACCUCUGCAUCAUAGAGACAUGACUACACAGAUGGUAACAGGGAAUAAAGGCCACAGGUCUGUCACCUUCAUACCUACAGCACCUGGCACCAAAAUGGAGGGGUAAGAGUGCAAGGACACAAAUCUUGCUUUCCACAACAAACUAUACUUCUGUUCACCCUUCCCAAAGCAUCACCCUCUGUACCUGCUCAAGAAAGUCUAGAGACUUCAACCAGAAGAAUAGAAACAAGGCUGAUUUGCUCAUCUCUAGUAGUAAACAGUCAUGAAAGACUUUCACAUUUCCUCUGUUUCCUAUUGCUUAUUUUAAAUUACCUAUUUUGGGGAGUUUCGGGUUAUUCAACUAAAUAUUGCAAACGGAGAGGCUGCACCCUAUGCGGAAUAAAUGACCUAAGAACCAGGCUUGGCUGUUUUCUUUUUUCCUCCAUCCCAGAGAUAAAAAGAAGGAACACAUUUUAGUAAUCCCCGCUCAUUUUCACGGCCAUUCGUGCACCUGUAACUCAAAUAAUGAAGCCAUUUGUUAUUUAUAUUGCACUUACCCCUCCAUUCUAGAUUUCUAACGAUCUGACCCUGUUUUAUGGCCCCGACAAAGCCUGAAACUGGUGUGGACUUCCAAUAAUUGAACAAUAUAGGGAAAAAUCUUUAAUUGGAAUGAAGCAGAUGUUAGCUUCAUGCAGUCCUCUAACUUGAUUAUUCUUUGGACAUGUUAGACAAGCAUUAGUGAUUGAUAAUGACGCUAAUUAACCCCUUUCCUUUCCAAAACAGCUAACCAACGCCAGCGGGAUUCUGCAAACAACACACCCAACGUACUGCAUAUAUCACUAUCUGUUUAGAGUGGAUUAGAGUCACAACCACACCACCCGAAAUCUUCUCCUGCCGACACCGAGCAGGCUCCAAAUACUCCUUAAUAGUUCCCAGCGCUGGCGGAGGAGCAGCACAGCCACUUAGGAAAGGCGCGUGGGACAGAACCAGACGCACAGUGCAUUUUGCAAACUCCCAAGCUUUCAUGUUUGGCUGUGGAGCUGUUUCCAUCCCAUUGCCUUCGCUGGCUGGGAUGGGCUCGACGCUGCUCCCCGUCAGAGCGACGUUUGUUAUUUCAGCCACACUCCUGGAACGCGAGGGCUGGCGCUCUGAGAACUCGGGCUGGGCUGAGACACGCACGUGGUGAGGAGGGAAAGGGAAGCGCACACGCCGGGAUUUCAAUGCGAGGCAGGAGAUGAGCAAACAAACAAGGAGCUGAUCUGAUUACGCAGUCAGAUUUAUCAAGGGCAAUAAAGGAAUCGCCUUCAAAUGUAAGGGUUUGGAGAAAUGAAUACUGCUAGCAAGUGAAUAAAAUGUAUUCAAUUAACUAAAAACCUCGUGCACUUCUGAACUGAAGUGGAAUCGACUGUAAUUGAUUUAUUUGAAACCAGAGGUUAAGGACUGAAUUAGCUAAGUACAACUGGGUAUUUCAAGCCACUGACUUCUCAAAUGUCAAAUCCCUUCUAUUUUAAAUAUUAUUUCAGCUGCGGGGCAUCGCUGUCCUGAUGGCUGUUCCACCAGUUAAAUCUCAAAUUAUAUUAAUAUUCGAUUUUUGGAGGGUGGGGUAAAUUACGGUACAAAGAGGAGGGCUGUCCUUAUUCACGGCGAACGAGCGCCGAGCCGUCGUUAGGUUCACGUGCAGAAAUCAGCACGGCGUGGCAGCCCUGGUCUAACGUUCAGCCACUCACCCUGACUCCAGCCAAUCUGGAGGAGAAAACAACAGCAGAUUUUUGUUGGUGUCUGGAAGCCUGACCUAGAAUUUGACUGCUGUGCGUUGAGCGCAACGGUACGAACGCAUCCAAAGAACGGCGAAGUAAUUAGCACGUUUUUGUAACCUCGCCUCGGUCGCAGCAGAAGAGGCUGAGCUGAAGCCAGUCUGAUUUCCAUCCUCGCCUGCAAAGUCCCUCCUCAGAAAUAACAGCCAUAAAGAUAUCUAUGCAAGGUCAUUUCAUUUCUGCUUUCCGGUGGCUAGCAAAUGCAGCAGAAGGAUGCUUGAAAUGUGCUCUCCUAGCAUAGAGUAGCUAAUUAUAUCUUUAAAACAUUAUUUAUUAUGACCUUAUAAUGUUCUAGCAUAAGACCGCUUUAUACAUCGCCCAGUAUAAAACGAUUAUAUUGGGUACAGGUUUCAAAAAGUAACAAGCAUCUGUAAAUCCAGAUCCGAAUGAAUGGUAUAUAAUAAGAUUGUUUUCGUUUAAAAAUGAGUAUUUAUGUGUUGCUGUGGAAAGAGCAGCAAUGUAUUGCUGUUUAUGAAUGCUAUUGUGCCUGAGGUUAGGAUCCCACACACAAUCUGAGAUGCAGCCAAGAAAAACAGCCCUGAUAGACAAUGCUUCACUUCACCUGCUACAAUACUGUGCAUUUCAUUUAUGUCAAGAAUAUGUACAGUUAGGGUUCAUUCACCUCAUUAUUUUGUUACAUCUACUUUACAGUUAACCAGUCUCUCUCGGAAACAAUAAAUAACUGUUUUUUAAAACAAUUGCGGCUUUGCAUUCAAAAGAUGCACUUUCAAUUUAUAAGGAAAAAAUAUUCAGCGCUUUUAUAAACUGUCUGGCUCUCGAAAAUAGAAUUUAGACGCCACCAACUCUCUUUCUGCUUGGCAAGAUUGAUUUUACACUGCCUCCCAUAAGUAGAUUACCAAAGCAAAAUGAAACAUCUUGGGCUUUAUCUAAUGCUUUGCUUCACCAGCCCUACCAAACGUCAGAAUAUAUGAGCAAAUGUUAAUUCUCUUUGCAGCUUUACUGUAAACACCUCCCUC